rnacentral:rRNA from 1 species
UACGGGGGGAGCAAGCGUUGUCCGGAUUUAUUGGGCGUAAAGAGCGUGUAGGCGGCCAGGUAGGUCUGCUGUGAAAACUCGAGGCUCAACCUCGAGACGUCGGCGGAAACCAUCUGGCUAGAGUCCGGAAGAGGAGAGUGGAAUUCCUGGUGUAGCGGUGAAAUGCGCAGAUAUCAGGAAGAACACCCGUGGCGAAGGCGGCU